rnacentral:rRNA from 1 species
GACGAACGCUGGCGGCGUGCUUAACACAUGCAAGUCGAACGGAAAGGCCCUGCUUUUGUGGGGUGCUCGAGUGGCGAACGGGUGAGUAACACGUGAGUAACCUGCCCUUGACUUUGGGAUAACUUCAGGAAACUGGGGCUAAUACCGGAUAGGAGCUCCUGCUGCAUGGUGGGGGUUGGAAAGUUUCGGCGGUUGGGGAUGGACUCGCGGCUUAUCAGCUUGUUGGUGGGGUAGUGGCUUACCAAGGCUUUGACGGGUAGCCGGCCUGAGAGGGUGACCGGCCACAUUGGGACUGAGAUACGGCGCAGACUCCUACGGGAGGCAGCAGUGGGGAAUAUUGCACAAUGGGCGGAAGCCUGAUGCAGCAACGUCGCGUGCGGGAUGACGGCCUUCGGGUUGUAAACCGCUUUCGCCUGUGACGAAGCGUGAGUGACGGUAAUGGGUAAAGAAGCACCGGCUAACUACGUG